rfam:Nicotiana attenuata strain TT chromosome 2, whole genome shotgun sequence.
UAGACAGAUUUUUGUAUUAGACUGUAUUCACGAUAUGUAUUUGUGAAUAUAGUAACGUAAAUAGCGCAAUUCAUGGUCUAUUCAGCUGUUUUUAACGGAAAGUGAAUCAAUUAACAUAAUAGACUCCC